GACGAACGCUGGCGGCGUGCCUAAUACAUGCAAGUCGAACGCUUCUUUCCUCCCGAGUGCUUGCACUCAAUUGGAAAGAGGAGUGGCGGACGGGUGAGUAACACGUGGGUAACCUACCCAUCAGAGGGGGAUAACACUUGGAAACAGGUGCUAAUACCGCAUAACAGUUUAUGCCGCAUGGCAUAAGAGUGAAAGGCGCUUUCGGGUGUCGCUGAUGGAUGGACCCGCGGUGCAUUAGCUAGUUGGUGAGGUAACGGCUCACCAAGGCCACGAUGCAUAGCCGACCUGAGAGGGUGAUCGGCCACACUGGGACUGAGACACGGCCCAGACUCCUACGGGAGGCAGCAGUAGGGAAUCUUCGGCAAUGGACGAAAGUCUGACCGAGCAACGCCGCGUGAGUGAAGACGGUUUUCGGAUCGUAAAACUCUGUUGUUAGAGAAGAACAAGGACGUUAGUAACUGAACGUCCCCUGACGGUAUCUAACCAGAAAGCCACGGCUAACUACGUG
rnacentral:rRNA from 1 species